UUAUCAUAUUAUUUUUUUUGUAUGACACUUAAAUUUGAUUUUAGUUAGUGUAAAAAGAUAAUAUAAUAUUAUAUAAAAGUUUUUAAAUGAGGUUUUAGUAAUUUUAAUUAAAAAUUUAGAUUAUUAAAAAGAUUUGGUUAAAUUUGUGCCAGCCACCGCGGUUAGACAUGAAAUUCAAUUUUUAUGAUAAUAAUAAUAAUUUUAAUAAGAGCUUAGAAAAAUAUAUUUUGAAUAUUGAAGUGAAAUUUAUUACAAAACUUUAUUCUUUUUUUUUAUUAUUAUUGAAGUAAUAAAAGACCAGGAUUAGAUACCCUGUUAUAAAAAUAAAUUUAUUAGGGUAGUAAUAUUUGAAACCUAAAAAAUUUGGCGGUAUUUAAGGCAUUCUAGAGGAACUUGUAACAUAAGUGAUAAUCCUCGUUAAAAUUUACUUUUUUUAUUAAUUUGUAUAUCGUCGUUGUCAGGAUUUUUUAUAAAAUUUUUCCUAGAAAAAGAUACUAAGAAUGUCAGAUCAAGAUGCAGUUUAUGGAGAAGUGUUUAUGAGUUACAAUAAUUUAAAUUAUACUAAUUUUAUUUUUAAAAAUAAAUGAAGGUGGAUUUAGGAAUAAUAAUUUUUUAGAAAGUUUUUGUGAAGAAUUAAAUGCUCUAAAAUGUGCACAUAUUGCCCGUCAUUUUCAUUUUUGAAACAAGUCGUAACAAAGUGGUUGUAUCGGAAGCUGCAGCUA
rnacentral:ncRNA from 1 species